rnacentral:rRNA from 1 species
UACGUAGGGGGCGAGCGUUGUCCGGAUUCAUUGGGCGUAAAGCGCGCGUAGGCGGCCCGGUAAGUCGGGUGUGAAAUCCUGGGGCUCAACCCCAGGACUGCACUCGAUACUGCCAGGCUAGAGGUAGGUAGGGGAGAUCGGAAUUCCUGGUGUAGCGGUGAAAUGCGCAGAUAUCAGGAGGAACACCGGUGGCGAAGGCGGAUCUCUGGGCCUUACCUGACGCUCAGGCGCGAAAGCUAGGGGAGCGAACAGG